rnacentral:rRNA from 1 species
GACGAACGCUGGCGGCGUGCUUAACACAUGCAAGUCGAACGGUGAAGCGCCUUCCUUUUUGGUGGGUGUGGAUGAGUGGCGAACGGGUGAGUAACACGUGAGUAACCUGCCCCCUUCUUCUGGAUAACCGCAUGAAAGUGUGGCUAAUACGGGAUAUUCUGGGUCUGUCGCAUGAUGGGUCUGGGAAAGAUAUUGUUUCGGUGGGGGAUGGUCUCGCGGCCUAUCAGCUUGUUGGUGGGGUGAUGGCCUACCAAGGCGGUGAGGGGUAGCCGGCCUGAGAGGGUGGACGGUCAUACAGGGACGGAGACACGGCGCAGACUACUACGGGAGGCAGCGGUGGGGAAUAUGGCACAAUGGGAGCAAGCCUGAUGCAGCGACGCCGGGUGAGGGAUGGAGGCCGGCGGGUUGUGAACCUCUUUCGCCAGUGAAGCAGGGCUGCCUCGUUUGUGGGUGGGUUGACGGUAGCUGGAGAAGAAGCGCCGGCUAACUACGUG